ACUGACACCGCAUAAGACCACGGAAAGGCAUCUUUCAGGGCGUAAAAUAUUAAUAGGUUGGCGAUGAGCAUGCUUAUCAUUAGGUAGUUGGUAGAGUAACGGCCUACCAAGCCGACGAUGAUUAGGGGUUCUGAGAGGAAGGACCCCCACACUGGAACUGAGACACGGUCCAGACUCCUACGGGAGGCAGCAGUGAGGAAUAUUGGUCAAUGGGCGAGAGCCUGAACCAGCCAUGCCGCGUGAAGGAAGACGGCCUUAUGGGUUGUAAACUUCUUUUGUGUGGGAACAAUAAGAAAUACGUGUAUUUCGAUGCGGGUACCAUACGAAUAAGCAUCGGCUAACUCCGUGCCAGCAGCCGCGGUAAUACGGAGGAUGCGAGCGUUAUCCGGAUUUAUUGGGUUUAAAGGGUGCGUAGGCGGGCGCAUAAGUCAGAGGUGAAAUCUUUCAGCUUAACUGGAAAAUUGCCUUUGAUACUGUGUGUCUUGAGUACGUGUGAGGUAGGCGGAAUGUGCAGUGUACGCGGUGAAAUGCUUAGAUAU
rnacentral:rRNA from 1 species